rnacentral:rRNA from 1 species
GACGAACGCUGGCGGCGUGCUUAACACAUGCAAGUCGAACGGAAAGGCCCUGCUUGCCGGGUGCUCGAGUGGCGAACGGGUGAGUAACACGGGGGUGAUCUGCCCCUUACUUUGGGAUAAGCCUGGGAAACUGGGUCUAAUACUGGAUAGGACCAUGCUGUAGGUGGUGUGGUGGAAAGAUUAGUUUCGGUAAGGGAUGAGCUCGCGGCCUAUCAGCUUGUUGGUGGGGUAAUGGCCUACCAAGGCGUCGACGGGUAGCCGGCCUGAGAGGGUGGACGGCCACAUUGGGACUGAGAUACGGCCAAGACUACUACGGGAGGCAGCAGUGGGGAAUAUUGCACAAUGGGCGCAAGCCGGAUGCAGCGACGCCGCGUGGGGGAUGACGGCCUUCGGGUUGUAAACUCCUUUCAGCCAUGACGAAGCCCUUGUGGUGACGGUAGUGUUAGAAGAAGCACCGGCUAACUACGUG